rnacentral:rRNA from 1 species
GAUGAACGCUGGCGGCGUGCCUAAUACAUGCCAGUCGAGCGAACAGACGAGGAGCUUGCUCCUCUGACGUUAGCGGCGGACGGGUGAGUAACACGUGGAUAACCUACCUAUAAGACUGGGAUAACUUCGGGAAACCGGAGCUAAUACCGGAUAAUAUAUUGAACCGCAUGGUUCAAUAGUGAAAGACGGUUUUGCUGUCACUUAUAGAUGGAUCCGCGCCGCAUUAGCUAGUUGGUAAGGUAACGGCUUACCAAGGCAACGAUGCGUAGCCGACCUGAGAGGGUGAUCGGCCACACUGGAACUGAGACACGGUCCAGACUCCUGCGGGAGGCAGCAGUAGGGAAUCUUCCGCAAUGGGCGAAAGCUUGACGGAGCAACGCCGCGUGAGUGAUGAAGGUCUUCGGAUCGUAAAACUCUGUUAUUAGGGAAGAACAAAUGUGUAAGUAACUAUGCACGUCUUGACGGUACCUAAUCAGAAAGCCACGGCUAAGUACGUG